rnacentral:rRNA from 1 species
UACGGGGGGGGUAAGCGUUGUUCGGAAUUACUGGGCGUAAAGGGUCUGUAGGUGGCUUGCUAAGUCAGACGUGAAAUCCCUCAGCUUAACUGGGGAACUGCGUCUGAGACUGGCGAGCUUGAGUGCAGGAGAGGAACGCGGAAUUCCAGGUGUAGCGGUGAAAUGCGUAGAUAUCUGGGGGAACACCGGUGGCGAAGGCGGCGUUCUGGACUGCAACUGACACUGAGAGACGAAAGCCAGGGGAGCAAACGGG